rnacentral:rRNA from 1 species
AGCAGCCGCGGUAAUUCCAGCUCCAAUAGCGUAUAUUAAAGUUGUUGCAGUUAAAAAGCUCGUAGUUGAAUUUCGGGAUUAGUACGCUGGUCGUGCCUUCGGUAUGUACUGGUGUUACUGGUUCCUACCUUCUGACGAACCGUCAUGUCAUUAAUUUGGUGUGGCGGGGAAUCAGGACUGUUACUUUGAAAAAAUUAGAGUGUUUAAAGCAGGCUCGCGCUUGAAUACAUUAGCAUGGAAUAAUGAAAUAGGACGUUCGAUCCUAUUUUGUUGGUUUCUAGGAUUGACGUAAUGAUUAAUAGGGAUAGUUGGGGGCAUUAGUAUUCAAUUGUCAGAGGUGAAAUUCUUGGAUUUAUUGAAGACUAACUACUGCGAAAGCAUUUGCCAAGGAUGUUUUCAUUAAUCAAGAACGAAGUUAGGGAUCGAAGACGAUCAGAUACCGUCGUAGUCUUAACCAUAAACUAUGCCGACUAGGGAUCGGGAUGAUGUUAUUUUUAAUGUACUNAUUUCGGCNCCUUAC